CAGGGAAUCUUGCACAAUGGGCGAAAGCCUGAUGCAGCGACGCCGCGUGGGGGAUGAAGGCCUUAGGGUCGUAAACCCCUUUCAGCAGGGACGAAAAUGACGGUACCUGCAGAAGAAGCCCCGGCCAACUACGUGCCAGCAGCCGCGGUAAGACGUAGGGGGCGAGCGUUGUCCGGAUUUAUUGGGCGUAAAGAGCUCGUAGGCGGUUGCGUAAGUCGGAUGUGAAAACUCAGGGCUCAACCCUGAGACGCCAUCCGAUACUGCGCUGACUUGAAUCCAGUAGGGGAGUGUGGAAUUCCUGGUGUAGCGGUGAAAUGCGCAGAUAUCAGGAGGAACACCCAUGGCGAAGGCAGCACUCUGGGCUGGUAUUGACGCUGAGGAGCGAAAGCAUGGGUAGCGAACAGGAUUAGAUACCCCGGUAGUCCCUGAGCGGGCUGGCAAGGCGCAU
rnacentral:rRNA from 1 species